AUACGGAGGGUGCGAGCGUUAAUCGGAUUUACUGGGCGUAAAGGGCGAGUAGGCGGCAUGCUAAGUCUCAUGUGAAAUCUCCCGGCUCAACUGGGAGGGGUCAUGGGAAACUGGCAAGCUUGAGAGCAGUAGAGGGAAGCGGAAUUCCCGGAGUAGUGGUGAAAUGCGUAGAUACCGGGAGGAACACCAGUGGCGAAGGCGGCUUCCUGGGCUGUUUCUGACGCUGAGGAGCGAAAGCGUGGGGAGCAAACCGGAUUAGAAACCCGAGUAGUCC
rnacentral:rRNA from 1 species